rnacentral:rRNA from 1 species
UACGUAGGGUGCAAGCGUUAAUCGGAAUUACUGGGCGUAAAGCGUGCGCAGGCGGUUGUGCAAGACCGAUGUGAAAUCCCCGGGCUUAACCUGGGAAUGGCAUUGGUGACUGCACGGCUAGAGUGUGUUAGAGGGGGGUAGAAUUCCACGUGUAGCAGUGAAAUGCGUAGAGAUGUGGAGGAAUACCGAUGGCGAAGGCAGCCCCCUGGGAUAACACUGACGCUCAUGCACGAAAGCGUGGGGAGCAAACAGG